rnacentral:lncRNA from 1 species
UUUUUUUUUUUUUUUUUUUGAGAUGAAGUUAAGUUGGGUAUGGUAGCACCUACUUACAAUCCCAGUACUUGUAAGUUUGGGGCCAGACUGGUCUACAUAGUAAGUUGUAGGCAAACCAGGGCUAUGUAGGAAGAUCCAUUUCUACAAACAACCACAGAAGAAGGCUGGAGAGAGAUCACAGCAGGUCAGAGCAUUUGUUGCUCUUGCCAGAAGCAGGAGUUCAGUUUCUAGCCCUGACAUAGCGCGCCUUAGAACCAUUUGUAACUCCAGUUCUAAGGGAACCACCACCGCGUCUAACCUUCACAGGCACUAGGCAUGUGGUACACAUACAUGGGUGAGCAAAGCACUCAUUUACAUAAAGUAAAUUUUUAAAAAACCAUGUUUCCAUUCAACAUCGUGUUUCUUGAUAGUUUCCUGAAUCAUGCCCACCUUUCCCCUGCUAGUGUGAUAGUUACAUAACAUUUCUCCUCAGACUUUAUCCUUUGAGUACACACCUGUAAUCCCUGUUGGUUGGAGGCUAAGGUAGAAGAAUCACAAGUUGAAGGUCUGCCUAGCAUAUAGGGUGAGUUCAAGGCCAGGCCAAGCAACUAAUGAGACCGUCUCAAAACAAAAGUACAAAGAUUAGGGAUAAAGCUAGAGUACUUGUCUAACAAGAAGAGGCCUUGAGUCUAAUCUCUAGUACUGCAAUGAGUAGCUUUUGUUAUUAAUCAAGAAUCUUUUUAACAUGUUAGUGAUUUUGGUACUAAAACCUGUUCUUCUCUUUAUAAACUCAGUGUCUUACAGGUUGAUUUUAUAUAUCCUUGUUUUUCCCUUAACACCUAUUCUUCAUUUCUCUGGAUUACCUUAAACAGAUGCGAUCGGGUCAGCUUUCUCGAAAAUUGUGGGGAUCUAGCAAGAGGCUCAGCCAGAUUUCAGCUGGAGAAACGGAAUAUAAUACUCAAGAUUGCAAGUGACUGUCCUUCCGCCUUCUGUGAUGGAGACUGAGCUUCGUUAUGGCUCUGUCACUUCAGCUGCACCUCUCCACUCUGAAAGUCUCUAAGGUUUUAUCCUGAAGAAUGGACUUCCAUGCUUUGAUAUUGGAGCACAUGCCUGUAACACUAACGCUCGAGAGGCUGAGGAAAGAAGGUGGCUCUUAAGUUCAAGGCCAACCUGUGCUACAUAGCAAGGCCUUGUCUCAAAAAUACAUAAGUUGUAGGUUGUAUUAAGUCCAUAUUUAAAGCUUUGCCAAUAUGAGUCUAGUUUUAUUAACCAGUACUAAAAUUCAAUUGAGAAAAUAUUGAUUUAAUUUAAUAAUUUGAUUAAAUAAUUCCAAAUUAUUAAAUCUGUAAAAAAAUUAUAAUUUAUAAUUUAUUUUGAGGUUAAAGUCCCUUAACCUAAGUAGCAAAAUUC